GUAUUCAUUUUUGGAUUGCAGGCUGAGCUCUUAACAACUGUCCAUUAUAGAAAUUUGGCUGCCCUAAUUGGGUAUUGUGAUGAAGGCUCAAACACAGCGCUCAUAUAUGAAUAUAUGAUUAAUGGCAACUUACAAGAAUGUUUAUUAGAUGGUUCUGAAGCUUUGGGUUCAUAUUUAAGGAUUCAACCUUGCUCUGAUAGUGCUCCAGAACUUUCGGGAUGUUCAAUUCAAUGGUAUCGUUUGGCAGCUGAAUGUGGCAAAAAGGAUCUUAUUUCAAGUAUGUAUGCAAAAGGGCUCAUGGAACUACUUCUGGGAUUGUACACUCCAUUGAUACUCAUCCAUUAAGAAAACACACUUGUAUUCUGGCUAUUUUGGGAGGUUCUUUGUUAGGGACAUUCUUAUCUGAGAAGGUCAGAUUUUCUCAUUUGUCAACCAAAAAACAUCCUUAAAAUAUAAUAGUUUUGAAACUAUACCCUUAUUUGGUCUAUGUUCUCAGUUUUCGAUUUGUCGAUUUGAUUGGCUAAUGGUGAUAUUUGCUUGUAACAAGGGAAUUUAGUGCUGUUCCAGGAAGAAAACCUGAACCUUGUACUGCUUUUUAUUCUUCUUACCAGUGCAGGUGUAGUUGACAUGCUCCCUCCAAGAACGUAGCAUGGGAGGACUUAAGAGUUGGAGGCUACAUUUGGUUAUUCUCACGUUUAAAUGUUUAUUCAAGCCAAGGGCUUUAUAUGUAUAGAGUUUAUAAUACUCUCUUUUGUUCUAACCAAGUAUUUCUUGGAAAGAUGUAAGCUCGUAGGGUAUUCGCUUAUGUUAAACUCUUUUGUAUUAUUACUUCACGUAAUGAAAGGAUUACUUACACUCUGAUUUAUGUAACUGUUAUUUAUGUUA